rnacentral:rRNA from 1 species
GGACGAACGCUGGCGGCGUGCUUAACACAUGCAAGUCGAGCGGUAAGGCCCUUUCGGGGGUACACGAGCGGCGAACGGGUGAGUAACACGUGGGUGACCUGCCCUUAGCUCUGGGAUAAGCCUGGGAAACUGGGUCUAAUACCGGAUAUGACUCCAUAACGCAUGUUGUGGGUGGAAAGCCUUGUGCGGCUAGGGAUGGGCCCGCGGCCUAUCAGCUUGGUUGGUGGGGUNAUGGCCACCAAGGCGACGACGGUAGCCGGCCUGAGAGGGCGACCGGCCACACUGGGACUGAGACACGGCCCAGACUCCUACGGGAGGCAGCAGUGGGGAAGUCUUGCGCAAUGGGCGAAAGCCUGACGCAGCGACGCCGCGUGGGGA